UUAUUUAUUUAUUUUAUUUUAAUUAUUUCCCCAUCCAACCCCUAAAUCAUUCACCCGCCACACCUUUUCCUCUCUACCAGGCUAGACUUAGUCCACCACCUUGGAGAAAAUUAGGCCAGUCCUUUCAUUUAUCUUCCCUUGACCGGGGCAAAGAUACGCUCAGACCUUGAUCUUAUCGACAGGAUGUCUGACAGCCGCGGUUGACACCACCUUGGUUUGAAUGCAAGCUAAUCCUCCCCCCCCCCUUUCCUCACGUCUCUCUUUGAUCUAAGAGAUUACCCUGGUCAACACACCGCGUGAUACUCCAAGGUGCGGCUCUUGUCGGAUUUCACCCACGUGUAAGAUAAUUCUUAGCCUAGGACAUUUCCGGUGUCCGCCCACACUUUUCAGGCAUAUAUAUAUAGUAAACCAACUCAAAUCACCCUCUCUUUCUCAUUCGAGCUGAGCUAUCGAGUCUGGACUAUAUCACUUAUUCUUUCUCCUAGAGGAAUACCUGGUGCCUCCCUCAGGUGUCUGCCUAUUUGUUUGAUAUCAAGAAUCACCUACUAUUUAUGUGCUGAGUGCUAUCCAGCACUGCACUGUCCUACUGAGACCUGCCUAUUUAUCGGAUUACUUACCUGCCUAUUUGCCUACUGGCCUAUCUAUGUGCUUAGUGCUAAUCAGCGCUGCACUUACCUAGUCGCUAUCAAGAAUCACAUAUUGCCUAGUUAUUGGAUCAACGAUCUAUUUACCUGCAGUUGUGCUUAGUGCUAUUCAGCGCUGCACUUGCCCACUGAGAUCUACUCAACUCUACUACUUGGCGCUAUCGGCAUUGCCCGCCUAUUCGACAGCCCACCUGUCAAGCUAUUAGGUGCGACGUCCCUAUAGACCAGAUCUGUGUGAGACGUCAUAGCUACGCCAACCCUCUGCAACUCACUGGACAUAUCCUGUCAGCCACGCUGCCCACGGCAGAUCAGCUCUGCCCGCAGUAACCUUGUGCCCACGGUAUCCGGCCACCCGCCAUACUGUGCCCACUACAGAUACUAGAACUUGGGACUGAGACUCCACAAGAACUAUAUCGCCGGCGUCCCUCUAUCCGCUAGAGCGCCACCUCCAGCUGCAGAACCUCAAGCCAGGACACAGCCAGCUGCGACAUCAACAGGACAACCAGCUAAGUCAGAGGACAAAGUGACAUACUCUCUUAUUAUGUGCAAGAGUGAUGAUUAAACAUAGAAUAUACUAGAGAUAGAUGCAAACCCUCCCCCUUUUUCUUAUUAUAUGUAUAUUUAUGUAAAUAAAUAUCCUUUAUUUUAACUUU